rnacentral:tRNA from 1 species
UCAGGCCCAGGAGGCCUUGUUCGCGGCGACCCGCGCCGCGGGCCUGCGGAUGGUGAGCGGACGCGGUGUGCAGACCACCGGGCCCGAC